rnacentral:misc_RNA from 1 species
UCUCAAAAUUACACGUACAAGCUUUCUGAUGUGUGGCUACUUCCAGGGCACUUCAAACACGCAAUCGAUACUUUGGCACCGCAACCAAAUGGUUAGCUCUAGGCAUCGAGAGGCCAAAUAUCUCACUCAUGUCCAACUCAUUAGGCAACACACCAUCUGGGAGCUCCCAGUUAAAACAAUGCACUAAUUGAGCCAAAACAAAUCGAGUGAUGGUUAAUCCCAGUUGCAUUCCAGGGCAUCCUCUGCGCCCAGAACCAAAUGGGAGAAGCUGAAAAUGGUGUCCUCGAAGGUCUAUACUUGUAUCAGCAAACCUUUCUGGCAAAAAUUCUUCUGCAUUAUCCGACCAGGCAUUAGGAUCUCGUCCAAUUGCCCAAGCAUUCACUAUAAUUCUUGCAUUCUUCGGUAUAUGAUA